AUUAAACAUUGCCACUUUUUAAUUUACUCUUUAUUAUACUGACAGGUAAACAAAGCAACAUGAAGGCUAAAUAAAAGUCAUUUCCCCAAGCAAAAUAAGGGUAGGGACCUUCAGAUGGACAGAUUAGCCUGGAUUAAGCAGAUGGAGAAGCCGAGGAUCAAGGAUCGGGCCAGGAGCCAAGGAAUACUGCCACCUCUAGAAGUUGGGAACGGCCCUCAGCUUACAGCCAGUAAGAAAAGGGGGAUUUUGGCCCUCUAGCUGCAAGGAAUCUAAUUCCACUUGAAUUAACAAGGAACAUCCAGGCAGGAAUGUAGCCCUGACAACACCCUAAUUUAGGCCAGUCAGGCCUGGACAGACUUCUGACCCACGGAAUUCUAGAAUAAUUUGUGUUUCUUAAACCAUCAAAUUUGUUGUAAUUUGUUAUGGUAGCAAUAGGAAUCAAAUAUACCUGUCUACUUUUACAAGAUAUUGUUGUCUGCAGCCUGUUUGAAGUCGGUGACUAAACACAGCUGGUUACUAUG